rnacentral:rRNA from 1 species
AAAUUGAAGAGUUUGAUCAUGGCUCAGAUUGAACGCUGGCGGCAGGCCUAACACAUGCAAGUCGAACGGUAACAGGAAGCAGCUUGCUGCUUCGCUGACGAGUGGCGGACGGGUGAGUAAUGUCUGGGAAACUGCCUGAUGGAGGGGGAUAACUACUGGAAACGGUGGCUAAUACCGCAUAACGUCGCAAGACCAAAGAGGGGGACCUUCGGGCCUCUUGCCAUCAGAUGUGCCCAGAUGGGAUUAGCUAGUUGGUGAGGUAACGGCUCACCAAGGCGACGAUCCCUAGCUGGUCUGAGAGGAUGACCAGCCACACUGGAACUGAGACACGGUCCAGACUCCUACGGGAGGCAGCAGUGGGGAAUAUUGCACAAUGGGCGCAAGCCUGAUGCAGCCAUGCCGCGUGUAUGAAGAAGGCCUUCGGGUUGUAAAGUACUUUCAGCGGGGAGGAAGGUGUUGUGGUUAAUAACCGCAGCAAUUGACGUUACCCGCAGAAGAAGCACCGGCUAACUCCGUGCCAGCAGCCGCGGUAAUACGGAGGGUGCAAGCGUUAAUCGGAAUUACUGGGCGUAAAGCGCACGCAGGCGGUCUGUCAAGUCGGAUGUGAAAUCCCCGGGCUCAACCUGGGAACUGCAUUCGAAACUGGCAGGCUUGAGUCUUGUAGAGGGGGGUAGAAUUCCAGGUGUAGCGGUGAAAUGCGUAGAGAUCUGGAGGAAUACCGGUGGCGAAGGCGGCCCCCUGGACAAAGACUGACGCUCAGGUGCGAAAGCGUGGGGAGCAAACAGGAUUAGAUACCCUGGUAGUCCACGCCGUAAACGAUGUCUACUUGGAGGUUGUGCCCUUGAGGCGUGGCUUCCGGAGCUAACGCGUUAAGUAGACCGCCUGGGGAGUACGGCCGCAAGGUUAAAACUCAAAUGAAUUGACGGGGGCCCGCACAAGCGGUGGAGCAUGUGGUUUAAUUCGAUGCAACGCGAAGAACCUUACCUGGUCUUGACAUCCACAGAACUUUCCAGAGAUGGAUUGGUGCCUUCGGGAACUGUGAGACAGGUGCUGCAUGGCUGUCGUCAGCUCGUGUUGUGAAAUGUUGGGUUAAGUCCCGCAACGAGCGCAACCCUUAUCCUUUGUUGCCAGCGGUCCGGCCGGGAACUCAAAGGAGACUGCCAGUGAUAAACUGGAGGAAGGUGGGGAUGACGUCAAGUCAUCAUGGCCCUUACGACCAGGGCUACACACGUGCUACAAUGGCGCAUACAAAGAGAAGCGACCUCGCGAGAGCAAGCGGACCUCAUAAAGUGCGUCGUAGUCCGGAUUGGAGUCUGCAACUCGACUCCAUGAAGUCGGAAUCGCUAGUAAUCGUGGAUCAGAAUGCCACGGUGAAUACGUUCCCGGGCCUUGUACACACCGCCCGUCACACCAUGGGAGUGGGUUGCAAAAGAAGUAGGUAGCUUAACCUUCGGGAGGGCGCUUACCACUUUGUGAUUCAUGACUGGGGUGAAGUCGUAACAAGGUAACCGUAGGGGAACCUGCGGUUGGA